rnacentral:rRNA from 1 species
GAUGAACGCUAGCGGCAGGCCUAACACAUGCAAGUCGAGGGGCAGCACAUAAAGUGGUUUACUACUUCUGGUGGCGACCGGCGGACGGGUGCGUAACGCGUAUGCAACCUGCCUCCAACAGGGGGAUAACGGAGAGAAAUUUCCACUAAUACCCCAUAAUAUCAGAAUCGGCAUCGGUUUUGGUUGAAAACUCCGGUGGUUGGAGAUGGGCAUGCGUUGUAUUAGAUAGUUGGUGAGGUAACGGCUCACCAAGUCAACGAUACAUAGGGGGACUGAGAGGUUAGCCCCCCACACUGGUACUGAGACACGGACCAGACUCCUACGGGAGGCAGCAGUGAGGAAUAUUGGUCAAUGGGGGCAACCCUGAACCAGCCAUGCCGCGUGCAGGAAGACGGCUCUAUGAGUUGCAAACUGCUUUUACAAGGGGAUAAAUCGGUGUACGUGUACACCGUUGAAGGUACCUUGGGAAUAAGGAUCGGCUAACUCCGUGCCAGCCGCCGCAGUAA